rnacentral:lncRNA from 1 species
CAGAAACGGGGCCAGCACGCUUUAUAGGACUUCACUACCACACAUCAAGAAAUAACCGUUCAAUAAGCUGCCCAGGACUCGGACAUCCACAGCAACACGCCAGUCCGAAGGCUGCUUUUGCCUUGGGUGAAAGAUUUUCAUCUCCUGACCAUCAAAACCAAGCCAACAGGAGCCUACGCAGGCCGCGCAUCUGACUGCCGACGGGCACUCGAGCGCUCCAAGCAGACCCACUGCUCAGCUAACCCUUGUUGUCACCCUGACAUACGCCAUCCCCGUGAGACAAGGAUACUGGAGCAUCCAGGGACCACCACGGUUUCCAACAUGGCCAGACCUCUGCCAGACUAGCAGGGAAUGUUUGAGGAAGAAGGUCUGUGCCCAACCAAGGCCCAGGACUUAUUUCCACUUAAGAUACCACUAGAAUAAAUUUGGGACAGUUUUAAAGCUUCUGUGGCUC